rnacentral:rRNA from 1 species
GAGGGCAAGUCUGGUGCCAGCAGCCGCGGUAAUUCCAGCUCCAAUAGCGUAUAUUAAAAUUGUUGCAGUUAAAAAGCUCGUAGUUGAAUUUCUGCUGCUCCGCAUUUUCCCUUUGAGGGGUUUUUGCGCUGUGGCUUAUUUCGGACUGUGUUAUGCACUGUCCGGAUGUUUACUUUGAGAAAAUUAGAGUGCUCAAAGCAGGCUUUUGCCUUGAAUAGUUUAGCAUGGAAUAAUAAAGUAGGACUUUGGUUCUAUUUUGUUGGUUUUAGGUACCAAAGUAAUGGUUAAUAGGAACAGUUGGGGGCAUUCGUAUUUAACUGUCAGAGGUGAAAUUCUUAGAUUUGUUAAAGACGAACUACUGCGAAAGCAUUUACCAAGGAUGUUUUCAUUAAUCAAGAACGAAAGUUAGGGGAUCGAAGACGAUCAGAUACCGUCGUAGUCCUAACCAUAAACUAUGCCGACUAGAGAUUGGAGGUCGUCAGUUUUUACGACUCCUUCAGCACCUUGAGAG